UCGUACGAAGAAGGAAGUCGUACGAAGAAGGAUGUCGUACUAAGAAGGAUGUCGUACUAAGAAGGAAGUGGUCUCUCUGAGCCUCUGAUAAUCAAACCAGGUGAGGAUAAAGGGUAAGGACGUCCAGGGUGCAUCAGGGAGGCGAGGUUCACUUAAGGGAGCAGCAGAGGACCAGUGAGACCUCGGAUGACUCUGUAACUGGAUUUCAGAGCUUCUAAAGCUGCCGCUGAUGACAUUGUGGAGCCAUAGAUGAAACCGGAGAGAGGAAUCAAGUGUCAAAACCACCGCAAGAGCUCGUCUCCCUGCCUCUCUGCAUUUGGGGAGGAAAUCGCAGGUUUCUGCAGCGAGCGCUCACCAGCAACUGAGCCGGGGCGACUGUGUGGGUGGAAAUAUGAAAGGCAGAAAUCUAAAUGUGUCUGACACAGUGUCCGCCGAGCCUCGCCGGAUCCCUCUGAGGACUCCCGGUCGACUGGCUGCAGAGGCGACUCUCCAUCAGCAGCUCUGCUCCUCCGGGCUCCAGGAAUAACAGCUAAUCAAAACCUUUCAUCCUGAUGUCUGCUGAGGGACGGAGGAGCCUCUCAUCAUCCCUGACUCUCGCUGCCCCUCAGCUCCUCACUAUGAAGGGUGAGAGACUGUAAAUUUAAGUCCACUGCCUCGCCGCCAAUCACUCACACAGCUCUGCACUCAGUUUGUCGCUCAAAUGCAACAAUAAAAGAAAAAUGCUCCGUCAUUACACCUUCACGGUCUGAGACGCCUGUAACUUGACAUUUCAGCGUGUUUCUUAGUUUCAUUUUUAAUUAAAUCUGAAUGUCACGA